AAAUGAUAUAUAACAUCUUAAAUGCAUGUAAAUACCCAGAAGACAAGUAAAUAUACCAGAGACAGUUUGUAGUCUAAAUGACUUCAAGUCACUGAAGCAUUAUUUGGAAACAAAAUGGGGAAGUGAGUAACUAUAGCUAGGCAGGAUUGUGGUAGAACAACUCACCACGAAUGAUAUCAGUUGUGAGAUACCUUCUUAAUGCUCAACAGUGCAUGAUGAGCUUCGCUGUCCUUUUAUUGUAUUGCAUUUGGCAAUAAAUUUCUUGCUACCCCAGCCCAACUACCUUGGAUCAUGCUUCAAUCCAAUCGUUUCACUCUUAGCAACAAAUCUUUCUCGAAUCAACCAAUGUCGAAACAAUUCUCGGUUCUCAUCUGAGAACUUUUCCAAUGUAGCUCCGGUAAUCAAAACAGGAAUGAUGAGGCAGUUCCAUGGAUGUCUCUGUUUUCUCUGCAAUUUGGAUUGCUUGCAUUAUCUGAAGCAGCACAAGAAGAUUGAAGAGACGUUCAAGUGAAGAUUUUGGCAGGUAUAUGAUGGGAAUUAAUACAUUAAACUCUCAGUUACCUGACUUUGUUCCAAAGUUCAAAUCAAUGUUUGUCAUCACUCCACCACCCAUUUCUUUCUGCCCAUUUCCUAAAUCUAGUUUGGAUUUGUUGCAUUUUUCAGUGUUUGAUUUCAUGAACUGCUCUAUUGAUAAUGGUAGAAUCAUCAGACAGUGGCCCCCUACCCAUUAAUUGAUGGCCUAAAACUAAAUCAACAUUGGGAACAUAAUGAAAAUGUUCCAGAAAUAGAACAAAACAAGGAAUGCAGAUGUUAUCACAAUGAAACAGUUUGCUAUCUGGUUCAACCAAUUCAACCUACAUGAUUAAUAAAAGCCACGAAAACAACAUCCAACAAUUUUUAUGAAGAUUAACUUUGCAAAAUUUAUGUAUUCUGAGAGAGAAUUCGAAGUGAGAAAUCUGCAUUUUUAAUCCUAUGUAUAGGUAAUCUAGCCCUAUGUAUAGAUAAUCAAGAGGCACGAAUUGCACCUGUACCCAUCCAACAACUUUUUCUUCAUUAUUAAGAUAGGAUCAUUG
rnacentral:lncRNA from 1 species